rnacentral:rRNA from 1 species
UACGAAGGUGGCAAGCGUUGUUCGGAAUUACUGGGCGUAAAGCGCGUGUAGGCGGCUCUUCAAGUCAGGCGUGAAAUCUCCGGGCUUAACUCGGAAAGGUCAACUGAUACUGCGGGGCUAGAGUGCGGAAGGGGCAACUGGAAUUCUUGGUGUAGCGGUGAAAUGCGUAGAUAUCAAGAGGAACACCUGCGGCGAAGGCGGGUUGCUGGGCCGACACUGACGCUGAGGCGCGAAAGCUAGGGGAGCGAACGGG